UUGUUUUCGUUUUUCAGAAGUGGAAGCACUAAUCAAGCUUAAAAAGUACACAAAGUCAAAAAAGGACUUUGGUUUUUUUUAACUUUAAAUAUGUGGUAUGAAAUAAUACCUACUCUUGGAAUAUUUAGCACAUUUUUGCUACUUCCGAACUUUAUCCCCUAUGUAACUCACAUGCUAAUCCGUGGAAAACCUGUAAGGAGAACGGCGAUGGAUUGUGAUGAUCGUAAAUUCACAAUGAGAGAUGAGCGUCUAACUGGAAAUGUAUAUGUUAUGAAAGGACUGGACAAUAUUCCAGAUGCAUAAUGGGAAGAAGAGAAACGAAGAAUUGGAAGAAUUUAUCUAGAAUAUUUGUUUGUUUUUUAAAAAAUAUUGUGUACAUUAAAUAAUUAGUGAUAA